rfam:Oryza meridionalis cultivar OR44 (W2112) chromosome 11, whole genome shotgun sequence.
UGUAUUGUUUAUACUAAAUAUUUGACCGUCUGUCUUAUUUAAAAAUUCUCUUAUGAUUAGUAUUUUUGUUGUUAUUAGAUGAUAAAACAAGAAUAUACUUUAUGUGUGACUUUUUCUAUUUUUUUCAUAAAUUUUUCAAAUAAGACGGACGGUCAAAUGUUAGACACAAAACUCACAAAUGCGCUUAAA